rnacentral:lncRNA from 1 species
AGAGCCGGAGGGGCUGCACUGCACCGAGCUUGCACAGGGCGAGGCGGGGGCAGGACCUGGGACCCAGCCACCCCGGAGGAAACCGGAGAGGAAACCAGCUUGGUCUUGCUCUCUGCCUCGUCCCAAUCCCCGGCUCUUACCAAAUGCAGAUCCGUUGGCUGAAUGCCUUUUAGUCUGCAUACAUGCAUCUCAUACCGCACAGCCCAAAUUUCUACAACUUGUCCAGGUGCAGUCUCCUCAGAACUACAAAGCAAGAAAAGAUCACCUUUGGGCUCAGGAACUCACAGUCGUUCUCCCUCUCCCGGAAGGCACAAUGACCAGGACAGUACCGAGCUUUACAGCCAUAUUGAACUCACCAUCAACUCAGCACAUUCAACUCAAUCAGUCAAAAUCGUCUUUUCCUGCUGGUAAAUAACACUGAAAGAAGAAGAGAAAGAUGUGGGGCCAGCACAGAAGACUUCCUGGAGUGACUGUGGCCCCACCUGGGUGCACAGGGGUCACAGCAGUCAGAGAGCAUAGCAGAGAGAAGGCACUCCUGUGUGAGACCUCCAGUGUGGGAAGAUGGGAUGGUAAGAACAAAGUCUGUCUCUGGAAGCACGGGCGCUGUCUCUGAAGACAAAUUGAUCGUAACACAAGCAGACCCGGUGGAACGACCUCCAUGCUGAACCCUCAGCUCCCCCUGCAUUUGGACCAUGGCCUGAUGGAAGAUAAAGAGACUGAUCUCAGAGUGGUACAGAUCUACAACCACGUGAAGAAUUGGAUUUAUAUUCAUCUGACUCCAGAAAGUUCCUGAGAUUCCUCUGCUUCAUCAUCUUUCCCAUGCCCUUUAAAACACGUUAUCAAAUAGCAACAGGUGGUGCAAUAACUAGACAAAUGAUUCUCAGCCUUUUUCUUUGCCAUUAGCACUCCCGGAAGGAGACGUGUUGGACACUUUUCCUUGUCACCACCCCAUGAACCUUCCAUACCACAGGUAUACUGUGUAUUCGGUUAUGUAUCAUCUGUACAUCUGUUUCUAAAACACAGAAACAGUAAGAGCCCCCCAUCCAAGAAUCCAUUUUAAUCCUCUUGGGUGUGAUGUCACCCCCCAAAAAUGCAUAUGCUCUGGAGUCAGUCACAAACACAUUACGAAUGCAUGAUCACUUAAGAAUGUUACCAAAGUUUAUAAAUUUGAGAUGAUAAUUCUAUGUUAUUUAGUUCAUUUUAGAGAUAAGUAAGAACCAGAGAUUCCAGAGAGGUAGACCAAGCUGACAGAGCAAGGAAAGGCAGAGCCAGACAUGCAGCUGAAGCAUCUGAAUUCCCACUCUAGUGCUCCAGCUUAACCUGGAUGAUCAGUAAAUGGUUGCUUUUCAAUGUGCUCUCAACACUUCCCACACUGCCUCCUUCAUUAAUAAAGGAAUGGUAUUUUGGGAGAAACCAGAAUCUGCCCUGGGGCAAUAGAAAGGCAGCAAAGCAACCUGCAUUCAAGUCUUUGGGGGAUUUUUUGGAAAGCAGAGUGUAUUAGUCUGCUAUUGCUGCUGUAACAAAUUACCAUAAAUUUAGUGGCUUAAAACAACACACAUUUGUUGUCUUAAAGUUCUGGAGGUCAGAGCCCAAAAUGGGUCUCAUGGAGCUCAAAUCAAGAUGUCAGAAGGGCUGUGUUCCUUUGGAAGGCCCUUGGGGAGAAUCUGUUCCAUGCCUUCUCCAGUUCCUGGAAGUCACCUGCUUGCUUUGGCUGUGGGGCACUUCCAGCAACUGCAUCACUCUAACCUCUGCAACCAUAGCACGUCUCCCUUUUCUGACUCUCACCCUCUUCUUUCUUUCCCUUAUAAGGACAAUUGUAGUACAGGAUAAUCUCCCCAUUUCAAAAUCCUUUACUUAAUCACAUCUGCAAAGUCCGUCUUGGCCUAUAAGGUGACAUACUUGCAGAUUCCAGAAAUUAGAAUUUGGACGUCUUUGGGUGGCUGUUAUUAUGCCUGCCACACAGACCAAUGCAUACACAAUGUGACCAAUCCAUCAUGAUUUGUCUGAGACUAUAUUGGCUUUAAAGCUGAAAGUUCUGCAUCCCAGGAAUCGCCUCAGUCCCAGGCAAUUCAGGACAAUUCGUCGUCACCCUAUGUGCACCUCCUAUGUGCUCCUUCAACUUAGAGAGUUGGUGUUUUCUCUCCUCUUCAAAGGACUAACUCCUUUUCACCUAAAGAGUACACAGAGGCUGGGUGUAGUGGUUUAGGCCUGUACUCUGUGCAUUUGGGACACUGAGGCAGGAGGUUCACUUGAGCCCAGGAGUUUGAGACCAUUCACGGCAACAUAGUGAGAUCCUUUCUCUACAAAUUUUUUAAAAAAUUAGUUGGGCAUGGUGGCACAUGCCUGUAGUCCCAGAUACUUGGCAGGCUAAGGAGGAAGGAUCCCCUGAGCCCGGGAUUCAAGGCUGCAGUGAGCUAUGAUAGUGCCACUGUACUGCAGCUGAGGCAAUAAAACGAGGCCCUGUCUCUAAAAAUAAAAAAAAAAAAAAAAAAGAAAAAAAGGCUGCACAGAAUAGACUGAUGGACUGAAGGCUCUGCCCUUAUCAAACAUUUACUAAGUAAUAAUUAUAAGUUUGCCUCCUACACUGGGUGACUUCUGACAAGGAAGCUGAGCCUUCACAAGGUCGAACAACACAUUUGAUGCCAUGCAACUGAGAAGUGGUUCAAGCUGGAUUUGAACAAAUGUAGUCAGACUCUGCAGCCUAUGCAUGUACCCACUGUGCUAUGCUGUCGCAUUGAAUAAAAUGCAGUGCCCUCAAUACGAAGUCAAUGUGAGCACAUACCAAGAAUCAUAUUGGGAAGGAGAAGUCCUCAGUAGGCAAAACACUUUCCAGCAAUGUUAACCUGGAUGUGGAUAGAAAGGAGACUUGGGAAUUUCUCUGACUUAAUUCAUCUCUGGGUCCAUUUGAAGCACAGCAGAAGAGAGGGGAAGAGGUGCUAGGAGUGGUGGGCUCUGAGGUUCAAGCCCCGCCAAUGGCCAGGCCUAAUAAAGAUCUAGACCUCCUUGCAGAAUGAGGCUUUCUCCAAAACCCUUCAGCUGUGGUUUGGUGGAAGAGGCCUCACUACAUCUAGCUAAUUUUGUUCAUUCAUUCAUUCAUUCACUCAUUUAUUCAACCAGACUUCAUGGACACUUCUCCAUGUCAGGGCCUGGGCGUUGUGUCAGGGUUGCAAGGAUGAGUCAGGGAUUAUCCGUCAUCUCCCGGAAUUCAUGAGCACAUGGGGAAGACAGCUUGGAGAAAAUCACAGUAAUAGGGGAAAAUAAGGGCUGAGAAAAAAGUCCAUGCACUGCAGCGGACAGGACAGCAGAUCAGCUCCUGUGGGUUAAAAGUGGGCUGUGGGCUGGGUGCGGUGGCUCACACCUGUAAUCUCAGCACUUUCGGAGACUGACGUGGGCAGAUCACGAGGUCAAGAGAUCGAGAACAUCCUGGCCAACAUGGUGAAACCCCGUCUCUACUAAAAAUACAAAUAUUAGCUGGCCGUGUUGGCAUGCACCUGUAGUCCCAGCUACUAGGGAGACUGAGGCAAGAGAAUGGCUUGAGCCUGUGAGGCGGAGGUUGCAGUGAGCCGAGAUCACAGCACUGCACUCUAGCCUUGUGACAGAGUCU